ACUCCAAUGGCGCCUGUGUCAGCACGCCCACACCGUGCCACAACAAUGGCUGCCGCCAAUGUCCCCAUCCCUGGAGAGGUCUCACCCCUCACCGAGAUGCACUCAGGGCCUAUUAGACCAGCUAGAUGCUUGGGACAGAAGGGAAGCUGAGAUUGGAGGCGUGGGACAGUGCUGUGUAGAAGUUUGGAAGACGGGCUUUGGAUCAGGGAGAAGGGGAAACUGCUCACACAAGAGGGCCAAUGACUUGUCCAAGGUCAUGCUGCAUAUUCACGGCAAAGACUUGGUAAGAAACCAGGUCCUCCAGUCCUAAUCCCAACUCUGAGUCAUUCGUUCACUCCACAAACAGUUAUUGAGCAUCUUCUAUGAGUUCAGCAGAGAUGGAAGAAGAGAUGGAAGACCUGUCUGUCUGUCCUGCCAGGUGGAGUCUCAGACAUCUCUGGAUCCCAGGUGUCAACUAUGGGAUCUGGCACAGAGAAGAAAAGCAGGAGAUAUUUGUGAAAUUGAACAGAUGACAGUCCCUGCCUCAUGGGGUGAACAGCGCUAUGAUAAAAGCCAGCAAAGGAUUUUGAAAGAGUUUAGAGGAGGGUCUGCUCAUCCUCUUGCGGUGGGAAGGCUUUCUAGAGCAGGAAAUACCCUCUCUUUGUCCUGACGGUCGUGAGCAUCUAGCCAGGCAGACAGCAGGGUGGAUGUUCCAAACAGACCAUACAGUAUAAGCAAAGGGCCUUUGAAGUUAAAAAAAAAAUCGCCUAGUGUUGCAGGUGUAGGUUGGGUGUGGUUAACUGUGUGGAUGAACUGUGUGUUGGGUGGGAGUAUGUCUUGAAUCCUCCUUGGCUGUGUUUUCUACACACCCUCUGUUGUGAUCCGACGAUGCACUGUGAGUCAGGCAGUGGAGGGGUUAUCCUCCCUACCUUGCAGGAUAUCUAGGAUUUGAGGUGAUUGGCCUAGAGAGAGCAUUUAUUCAUCUAUUUCUUCAUCACACACAGAACCAACUACAUAAUUCAUGGUGGCCAAUGCAAAAUGAAAACAUGGUACCCUUUCUCCCAAAAUUGUUAAGAAUCUCAAGACAGCAACAGCAGAGCAUUAAUUCAAGUGCAGGGCCCUUCUGGAUGUGGGGCCACAUGCAACUGCUCAGGUCCCAUGCCCAUGAAACCUGUCCUGGUUCCACAGGUAUUUAUUGGGCACUUACUAUAUGCCGGGAGUAGUUCUAGGCACUGGGGACACAGCAGUGAACAAGCCAGAGGUGGUCCUUUGUCUCCUGAAGCCUAGUGAAGGGAAGACACAAUAAACAGGUAAAGGAAUGAAUGAAUGGGAUGGUUUCAAAUGAUGGUCUGAUGAGAUGUUGUGAAGAUCUGGGAAGGAGCAUUCUAGGUAACGCUAAAGCAAAGGAUUUAAACUGAGAACAAGCUUGGAGCAUUCAGGAAUAGGCAACAAUGCUGCAGUGGCCAUAGGGGAGUGAGGUUGUUGUGGCUGGAUAUUAUGAGACCUUGCGGGACACGGAGAGGACUUCAAGUGUUACUCUAAGUGUAGUGGGAGGCACUGGACAGUAUUGAGGAAGGAUGACCAGACGGAAGCCAAGAGCCCUCUGUUCCAAGAUGGCUCUUCACCAACCUCCAUUCCCUAUGGUCUGGAGCUCCAGAGCAUCAGAUGUCUCUAGCUAGUAGUAUGGUUCAAUGAAGAGUGUUGUGGAGAGGUUUGUAUUUGAUUGACACAUACAAGUAGAGCAUUAGAUGACCACGUAUGUAGCUCUCGUGUAACUCGGGCCCGAGAAACCAUGAGAAAAUGGGGA